rnacentral:ncRNA from 1 species
UUUUAUCAAGAGAGACUGAGGGACUGGCCCAGUGACGUCUCGGCAGCGGGUAACUUGUGCCAAAUCCAGCGAGCGAUCGGCUCGAAAGAUGAA